UUCCAGGUGGCUCAGUGGUAAAGAGUCUGCCUGUAAUGCAGGAGACACAGGUUCGAUCCCUGGGUUGGGAA
rnacentral:tRNA from 1 species